rnacentral:rRNA from 1 species
UGGGGAAUUUUGGACAAUGGGGGCAACCCUGAUCCAGCCAUUCCGCGUGAGUGAAGAAGGCCUUCGGGUUGUAAAGCUCUUUCGCAAGGGAAGAAAGCUUAGUCUCUAACAUAGACUGAGGUUGACGGUACCUUGAUAAGAAGCACCGGCUAACUACGUGCCAGCAGCCGCGGUAAUACGUAGGGUGCGAGCGUUAAUCGGAAUUACUGGGCGUAAAGCGUGCGCAGGCGGUUUUGUAAGUCAGAUGUGAAAUCCCCGAGCUCAACUUGGGAACUGCGUUUGAAACUACAAGACUAGAAUAUGUCAGAGGGGGGUAGAAUUCCACGUGUAGCAGUGAAAUGCGUAGAGAUGUGGAGGAAUACCAAUGGCGAAGGCAGCCCCCUGGGAUAAUAUUGACGCUCAGGCACGAAAGCGUGGGGAGCAAACAG